GUUGGUCUCCAGACUGUCAGGUAGAUGAUUAUAACAGUAGUGUUGGUCCUGGUCUCCAGACUGUCAGGUAGAUGAUUAUAACAGUAGUGUUGGUCUCCAGACUGUCAGGAUGAUGAUUAUAACAGUAGUGCUGGUCUCCAGGCUGUCAGGUAGAUGAUUAUAACAGUAGUGUUGGUCUCCAGGCUUUCAGGUAGAUGAUUAUAACAGUGGUGUUGGUCCUGGUCUCCAGGCUGUCAGGUAGAUGAUUAUAACAGUAGUGUUGGUCCUGGUCUCCAGACUGUCAGGUAGAUGAUUAUAACAGUAGUGUUGGUCUCCAGACUGUCAGGUAGAUGAUUAUAACAGUAGUGUUGGUCUCCAGACUGUCAGGUAGAUGAUUAUAACAGUAGUGUUGGUCUCCAGACUGUCAGGUAGAUGAUUAUAACUGUAGUGUUGGUCUCCAGACUGUCAGGUAGAUGAGUAUAACAGUAGUGUUGGUCUCCAGGCUGUCAGGUAGAUGAUUAUAACAGUAGUGUUGGUCCUGUUCUCCAGACUGUCAG
rnacentral:lncRNA from 1 species